CACGGUAAACGAUGGAUGCCCGCUGUUGGCGAUACACAGUCAGCGGCCAAGAGAAAUCGUUAAGCAUCCCACCUGGGGAGUACGCCGGCAACGGUGAAACUCAAAGGAAUUGACGGGGGCCCGCACAAGCGGAGGAACAUGUGGUUUAAUUCGAUGAUACGCGAGGAACCUUACCCGGGCUUGAACUGCAGCAGAACGAUUCAGAGAUGAUGAGGCCCUUCGGGGCUGCUGUGGAGGUGCUGCAUGGUUGUCGUCAGCUCGUGCCGUGAGGUGUCGGCUUAAGUGCCAUAACGAGCGCAACCCUUUUCCUUAGUUGCCAUCAGGUGAUGCUGGGCACUCUGGGGACACUGCCACCGUAAGGUGUGAGGAAGGUGGGGAUGACGUCAAAUCAGCACGGCCCUUACGUCCGGGGCUACACACGUGUUACAAUGGGGAGUACAGAGAGUCGGUCGUCCGCAAGUGCGAUCCAAUCAUGAAAGCUCUCCUCAGUUCGGAUUGGGGUCUGCAACCCGACC
rnacentral:rRNA from 1 species